UAUUACCACUACCUGGAAAUUCAGAACAUCUCCGUGCUGCAUCAUGAAUGUAUUGGUGUUUCUGCUAACGCUUGUCACUGGUACGGAGACACAAAUUACGGUCAUUCAGUAUCCCAGAACCGUAGUCACAUCGCCUGGGGCUUCUCUUAAUGUGACCUGUGAAGUUUUGGGCUACAGUAACCCUGAUACAUUUUGGUACCGCCAGUUUAGUGGAGAAGAACCCAAGUCUAUGUUUGUAUCAGCUGGUACAGGUGUGGUGGACCCUCCUAGUUUGGGACAUUUCAGUGCCCUCAGACCCAACAGCUCUCAUUUCUUUCUGGAAGGAACCAGCCUUGAAGUCCAGGACUCAGGAACGUACUUCUGUGCUGGUAGUACCCACAGCGGAGCAAGUGGCUGAGGCUGCCGUACAAAAACUGUGAGGGCAGCAUCGUGCAAGUAGGCUGAGAUGGAGGCUUGUUGGAAAGUAAUUAAUAGU